rnacentral:rRNA from 1 species
UACGUAGGGGCAAGCGUUGUCCGGAAUCAUUGGGCGUAAAGAGCGUGUAGGCGGCCAGAUAAGUCCGCUGUGAAAUCUCGAGGCUCAACUUCGAGCUGUCGGUGGAAACUGUCUGGCUAGAGUCCGGAAGAGGAGAAUGGAAUUCCUGGUGUAGCGGUGAAAUGCGCAGAUAUCAGGAGGAACACCGGUGGCGAAGGCGGUUCUCUGGGCAUUACCUGACGCUGAGGAGCGAAAGUGUGGGGAGCGAACAGG